CACAACAAACUGUUCAUGAAAAUGCGCCAGAAGUGUGCGUGUAUGAAACAUAACUUACUGCCUUUUUCUUUCUAAGUACAAGUAGCAAAAAAUAAAUAUUUUGUUGGAGAUGCAGCCUGAAACAUUCAGAAGUCAGAGUUGUGCUUCAGAGAUCUACCUCCUAGAAAUGAGCCUCAGAACAGCCUAGGAACACAACUCUUCACUGAGGGCACAAUUCCAACAGCUUACAGAAGACUUCAGGUAUAACUUGAUUAGCAGAGUGAGAUCAAGAGCUGAAUAAAUAUGAGCUCCUCACAUCUCAAGAUCACAACAGCCAAAGGUUUCUGCAGUCAUCUUUCAUUCUUCUGUCUGUUUGGAAGAGUUUUUUGAACAUGGGUAAUUACCGAUAGCCUUUUUAGC